rnacentral:rRNA from 1 species
UACGGAGGGUGCAAACGUUGCUCGGAAUCAUUGGGCGUAAAGCGCACGUAGGCGGCUUGUUAAGUCGGAUGUGAAAGCCCUCGGCUCAACCGAGGAAGUGCAUACGAAACUGGCGAGCUUGAAUAUGGAAGAGGGUCGCGGAAUUCCCGGUGUAGAGGUGAAAUUCGUAGAUAUCGGGAGGAACACCAGUGGCGAAGGCGGUUCUCUGGGCCUGUGCUGACGCUGAGGAGCGAAAGCGUGGGGAGCGAACAGG